rnacentral:lncRNA from 1 species
CCGCGAACGGGAACACUCCUUGCUCUUCACGUCCGGGGUAUGUGUGUUUCGGGCCUCUGGACUCAAAAGGCGAACCUAGCAGCCACCGUGUGUCUAUCCGUCUCGGCGUGUGGUCACCUGAAGCCAGUUGCACUUUGCCUACGCGCGUCUGUCGCGGAGAGCUCUCUUUCCGUGUUCCGGAUGACCGGUCUGUGCCUUCCACUUCCGACUUUUUCAAGCCUCACCAGUUGAGACAGGACAAGGCAGAAGGCAUAGGCGACGUGGUCCCCUCUUAAGAGUCCACAGGCAGGUAACUCAUGUCGCUGGGAGCUAGAGAGAGGGGAAAAAGGGUUCCAAUACGUGGGCACGCACGCAAACGCAUUUCUUUCGAGGGCAGGAAGGUUUGAUCGCGCCUCGAGUUUGCACGUGCAGGUGUUGACUCCGUUUUCUACAGCGCAGUACACCCAGGUUCGUUUACACGUGACUUGCCGGGAGGCAGGCGUGCGUGAAGGUGCGGUGACGCAGGGCGUAUCCUGAUUGCGUGAUCGUUUGUCGGAAUCCGCUCGGUUACUGUGAGAGCCGUCGCAGUGGAGCUGGCUGCCAGUGGCCACGAGCAGAGAGGGAUACGAGCAAAGGAAGACGGUACCCGUUUCGCGAGAAACGCGUUCGUAAUUCGUUCGGCAACUUCUCACCGAUGGUCGAGGUGUAAUCUUCAUGCUCUUAAUGCCCGCUUUGUACAGUUUACCGGAUCCAAGUUCUGUUGUGCUUUUCAUGACCAUCAAACCAGACAUCCAGGCGGCAGUUAAAUAACUAUAACUCCAG